UCGAACAUUGGUCAGAAACAUUACAAGAUAAACGAUAUCCUAAUUUUAAGGC
rnacentral:sRNA from 1 species